UUUUGUCGAAACAAAGCAGGUGAAUUUCCGUAUCCGGAAAUGAGAGGGAAUCAGGAAAAGCCUGAGCGAUGCGGUCACUGUGAGCAGGGAGCUUCCCCGGAUAUCCAUUGCGGCGAAUGCCGUGAGAAGGAGGGACAAGCGCAAAUCUGUGAGCCAGGAAACCUGCCUGCCUUGUGCGAAAGAA
rnacentral:ncRNA from 2 species